GACGAACGCUGGCGGCGUGCCUAAUACAUGCAAGUAGAACGCUGAAGAGAGGAGCUUGCUCUUCUUGGAUGAGUUGCGAACGGGUGAGUAACGCGUAGGUAACCUGCCUUGUAGCGGGGGAUAACUAUUGGAAACGAUAGCUAAUACCGCAUAACAAUGGAUGACACAUGUCAUUUAUUUGAAAGGGGCAAUUGCUCCACUACAAGAUGGACCUGCGUUGUAUUAGCUAGUAGGUGAGGUAAUGGCUCACCUAGGCGACGAUACAUAGCCGACCUGAGAGGGUGAUCGGCCACACUGGGACUGAGACACGGCCCAGACUCCUACGGGAGGCAGCAGUAGGGAAUCUUCGGCAAUGGGGGCAACCCUGACCGAGCAACGCCGCGUGAGUGAAGAAGGUUUUCGGGUCGUAAAGCUCUGUUGUAAGUCAAGAACGGGUGUGAGAGUGGAAAGUUCACACUGUGACGGUAGCUUACCAGAAAGGGACGGCUAACUACGUG
rnacentral:rRNA from 1 species